GAUGAACGCUGGCGGCGUGCCUAAUACAUGCAAGUCGAGCGAACGGACGAUAAGCUUGCUUUUCUGAUGUUAGCCGCAGACGUGUGAGUAACACGUGGAUAACCUACCUAUAAUACUGGUAUAACUGCGGGAAACCGGAGCUAAUACCGUAUAAUAUUUUGAACCGCAUGGUUCAAAAGUGAAAUACGGUCUUGCUGUCACUUAUCGAUGGAUCCGCGCUGCAUUAGCUAGUUGGUAAGGUAAUGGCUUACCAAGGCAACGAUGCAUAAACGACCUGAGAGAGUGAUAGGCCACCUGGGAACUUGGACACGCACCAGACUACUAAGGGAGGGAGCAGUAGGCAACCUGACGCAACGGGGGAAAGCAUGACGGAGUAACGCCGAGCGAGUGAUAAAGGUCUUCGGAUCGUAAAAACCUGUUAUUAGGGAAGAACAUAUGUCUAAGGAAAUGUGCACAACUUGACGGUACCUAAUCAGAAAGCCACGGCUAACUACGUG
rnacentral:rRNA from 1 species